rnacentral:lncRNA from 1 species
AGGGCCAAGCCUGGACAAGCAGUUGCCUGGCCCUUACCUCUCAUCUUAAUCAAUAUUUAAUAUCGAUUCUAAGACACAAGGCAAGAAGAUGGCAGUUUAGUAGCAGCAAAAGCUGGAAUCACUCCAAGAAUUCUCCUAAGACAGAAGAAUGCAAAAGAAGUUCAUGUUGGAUUUAAUUAGCCUCAGGGCUUGAGGAUGGAAGAAAGGACAGUUCUAGAACUCCAUGUUUUUUCCCUGUUAUGUGGCUGGAAGGUGAGGUGUGGAUGCUCAGUCCUCUUGAGACUACAAACAAGGAAAACCAAAGCAAGAACUAAAAUUCUUGUUAAGCUUUUCAAGGACUUGGAGAAAUUUGGAAACAUCAUGGGUAGAAUUGCCCUAAGGAAGGUCUCCUACAGAAAAGGGGAUUUGAGCUGAAUUCUAAAGGAAGUGAGGAAAGCUAUGAGACAAAGGCUGCCAUGGCCCAGCUCUUCAUCCUGAAUGCACACAGCGAAAGUAUUCUCCACCCUGUGGCUUCUUUCUCACAUUAAAUCUCCACCUAAGUCCAUCUAUAUCUCCUUCUCCAGUCUACACUCUGAACCUCACCAUGGUCUUGUUCAGAGUACUUGUAUCUCUUCUCCACUCUUCAGAUUCCUUUUAUGGGUUCUUCCCCUUUAGAAUGCAGCAUGAUAUUGUGGACAGAAAGUUAGCCUCAAGACCAGGAAGACCUGAAUUCCAAGCCAGUUUCUGGAAUGUCCACCGAGACGGAGCUAUGUGCUGCUGCGGCUGUCUGGGAGCAAGCAUCCUCCUUCUCCUGCGCCUUCUGCAUAUUUGAAGAUGUGUGUAAUGCAAUAUAUGUUUAGAUCAAAACAGAUGGUACGCUUGGCUCUGUUUACCAUACCGUCUAGUGGAGGGUUAUUCCCUAAUAGCUGACCCUGAAUCCAGGGCUAUCUGAAGACGUCUGCAUUACCUCUAAGCAAGAUCACUGAGCACCGGGACCUUGUGACGCUUCCAGUGGCGCUGGAAACAUGUUAGAAUUGAAAUCAUCCGAUUUUGUGCCCCUAGGGCAAAUCACUUGCCCUUUCUCAGCCUC